rnacentral:lncRNA from 1 species
AUAUUAAUCCUAAAUAGAAAUUAAACAAGAAUGUGUCCUCAGUACACGAAUGCCCCACUCGCACUAUCAUUUUCUAUGUUCAGUGGACCGUGAAAUUGGGGUAAAAUCUCUAAUUUGGCAUUAAAAUUAGAAAGAUCAUAUCAUAGGGAACAUGUGUACCAAGUUUGAAGUCGAUUGGACUUCAACUUCAUCAAAAACUACCUCGACCAAAAACUUUAACCUGAAGCGGGACAGACGGACGGACGGACGGACGAACGAACGGACGGACGGACGCACAGACCAGAAAACAUAAUGCCCCUAAGUGGGGCAUAAAAAGUAAAAUAAUAAU